rnacentral:rRNA from 1 species
CCUACGGGACGCAGCAGUGGGGAAUAUUGCACAAUGGGGGAAACCCUGAUGCAGCGACGCCGCGUGAGUGAAGAAGUAUUUCGGUAUGUAAAGCACUAUCAGCAGGGAAGAAGAAAGACGGUACCUGACGAAGAAGCCCCGGCUAACUACGUGCCAGCAGCCGCGGUAAUACGUAGGGGGCAAGCGUUAUCCGGAUUUACUGGGUGGAAAGGGAGCGUAGACGGCUGUGCAAGUCUGAAGUGAAAGCCCAGGGCUCAACCCUGGGACUGCUUUGGAAAAUGUGGAGCGAGAGUGCUGGAGAGGUAAGUGGAAUUCCUGGUGUAGCGGUGAAAUGCGUAGAUAUUAGGAGGAACACCAGUGGCGAAGGCGGCUUACUGACAGUAACUGACGUUGAGGCUCGAAAGCGUGGGGAGCAAACAGGAUUAGAUACCCCUGUAGUC